UUCAAGACCACCCUGGGCAACAUUGUGAGACCUCAUCUUUAUAAAAAUUAAUAAUAGUUUCUUAAAACAAGAAAGCUUAUAGAAAACCAUAUUCAGGAAGAUCUUUUUUUUUUAAUUGUAGCAAUCCAGGUAAGAGACACAGAAAACUGUAAAUGAUGCAAAAACAGCUGAACUGAAUAUGAGAGAUGUUCAAGAGUUAUGACCUGAGAAGAUGUCCCCGCCAUCAAUAGACAUUGCAGGAUGUGAUACCACUCUGGAGGACUUUGAAGUUUCUGGAUUUGGUUGAAGAAAGAUGCUUUGGACAUUUUGAAUUUGAGAUGCUUCUCCAGAAGUCUUAUGGAUCUGAAGCAUGGGAGAGGAGUAUAAGCUGGGGAAAUAAGUUUGGGGGUUACCAGAAAACUAGCAGUGGGUAAGGCCAUGAGCAAAUGAAAUCAAAUAGAGGAUGAAGAGAACAGGAGCCCUAGCAAACCUUGACAGUUAAAGAGUAUGCAGGGAAAAGGACUUAGAAAGGACCCUGUAAAGAAAGAUCCAAGAUGACCUGAAGAACUGAGAGAGCCUCUCUGUUAUUUAGGGUGACAUAAAUAGCGUCUGGAAGCAGGACCUGAAGUAGGAUCAGUUUUGGACAGAGCUGGCAAUUCUUGGUACCAGUAUGCAGCACUUACAGGAGCCCUUUGAGCUCUCCACUUUCACGGCUCGCCUCUUCUGCCCUGGUGCCAGGAUCUAUUUUUGUCAUCACCAGCCAGGAAGGAUACAAGGCCUCUUCCAAGAUGAAGACGAAACUAUUGACAGAUAUUUUGUCAAGACCAAAUUUUCCCUAAGGGCCCUGUCAUAGAUUGUUCCCUGGGCAGGAUGCAGCCUCCUUCAGAGAGUGAAGAACACACCAAAAGAUCCUCUACUAAAUUAAUCAUAAGCCACAUGAGGCAGGCUGGAAUACAGUUACCAAUCUGCUUUAAUUCUCCCACUUAGAUGGCCUGAAGCCGCCUGAACUGAAAGUUGGAUGAAGCUCGGCUUUGAGUUUCAUCGCGGGGCAUCGUGUGGCCUAAGUCCUUAGCCAAUGCCUGCCAAAUAUUAGCUUGAGUCGCAAUAAAGAGAAAAGGUCCAAAUUC